rnacentral:rRNA from 1 species
AUGAAUGUCUUAAGUUGGAACUGCCGGGGAGGGGGGAAUACCCGGACAGUUCGUGAGCUAGCGACUAUAUGUCAGUCGCAUUCCCCCAGUCUGGUGUUUUUGUGUGAAACAAGACAGAAGGUAGAAAAAAUGAAAAAGGUGCGAGGAAGAAUUGGGUUGAGGGGUUUUGCCGGAGUUGAUAGUAAUGGUAUGAGUGGUGGUCUGGCGUUGUUUUGGCAUGAGAAUUAUGAAGUGGAAAUUCUGGACAAGGAGGAGCAGUAUAUUGAUGCACUUGUCCGUGUUCAGGAAGGGGCAGUUCAAUGGCGGAUUACAUGUGUCUAUGGUGAACCACGAGUUGAGAAUAGGCACAUUAUGUGGACGAAACUAGCACACUUAAAAACCAUGAACGACCUGCCUUGGCUUGUUGUCGGUGAUUUCAAUGAGUGCAUGUGGGAUUUUGAGCAUCUGUCUACCUCAUAG